UGUGUGCCCGAGACUUUUAAAGGGAAGCCACUGGCUGAGGAAGCACAGAACCCUGGGGACUGUGUGGAGCUCUGCAGGAGUGGCUUCCCGGAGCUGAGGACACUGACUCACGACAUCCUGGAAUUCUAAAGUUUGUGCUUUCAGAGGAACAGUUCUCUCAGUCUGCUUCUUGAUUGUAGAAACGCUGGGUUCCAAUUUUGCUGUCCUAUCAUUUCUGCUCCUUGUAGUUGAAGUAAACAAUGUGUUUGUCAAUAAAAUUCCUUUAAAAAC